rnacentral:rRNA from 1 species
AUGAACGCUGGCGGCGUGCCUCAUACAUGCAAGUCGCGCGCACAGACGAGGAGCUUGCUCCUCUGACGUUAGCGGCGGACGGGUGAGUAACACGUGGAUAACCUACCUAUAAGACUGGGAUAACUUCGGGAAACCGGAGCUAAUACCGGAUAAUAUAUUGAACCGCAUGGUUCAAUAGUGAAAGACGGUUUUGCUGUCACUUAUAGAUGGAUCCGCGCCGCAUUAGCUAGUUGGUAAGGUAACGGCUUACCAAGGCGACGAUGCGUAGCCGACCUGAGAGGGUGAUCGGCCACACUGGAACUGAGACACGGUCCAGACUCCUACGGGAGGCAGCAGUAGGGAAUCUUCCGCAAUGGGCGAAAGCCUGACGGAGCAACGCCGCGUGAGUGAUGAAGGUCUUCGGAUCGUAAAACUCUGUUAUUAGGGAAGAACAAAUGUGUAAGUAACGAUGCACGUCUGGACGGUACCUAAGCAGAAAGCCACGGCUAACUACGG